GAACGCACAUUGCGCCCGCUAGUAUUCUGGCGGGCAUGCCUGUUCGAGCGUCAUUUCAACCAUCAAGCCCUAGGCUUGUGUUGGGGCCCUGCGGCCGUCCGCAGCCCCCUAAAAACAGUGGCGGGCUCGCUAUAUACCGAGUGCAGUAGUUUACUCUUCGCUCAGGACAUGUAGUGGGUUCUUGCCGUAAAACCCCCCAUUUUUUAAGGUUGACCUCGGAUCAGGUAGGAAUACCCGCUGAACUUAAG
rnacentral:misc_RNA from 1 species